rnacentral:rRNA from 1 species
UACGUAGGUGGCGAGCGUUGUCCGGAUUUACUGGGCGUAAAGAGCGCGCAGGCGGUCGUGUAAGUCGAAUGUGAAAGCCCCCGGCUCAACUGGGGAGGGUCAUUCGAUACUGCUCGACUCGAAGGCAGGAGAGGGAAGCGGAAUUCCCGGUGUAGUGGUGAAAUGCGUAGAUAUCGGGAGGAACACCAGUGGCGAAGGCGGCUUUCUGGCCUGUUCUUGACGCUGAGGAGCGAAAGCGUGGGGAGCGAACAGG